GACGAACGCUGGCGGCGUGCUUAACACAUGCAAGUCGGACGGUAAGGCCCCUCGGGGUACACGAGUGGCGAACGGGUGAGUAACACGUGGGUGAUCUGCCCUGCACUUCGGGAUAAGCCUGGGAAACUGGGUCUAAUACCGGAUAGGACUCCGGACUGCAUGGUCUGGGGUGGAAAGCUCUUGCGGUGUGGGAUGGGCCCGCGGCCUAUCAGCUUGUUGGUGGGGUGAUGGCCUACCAAGGCGACGACGGGUAGCCGGCCUGAGAGGGUGACCGGCCACACUGGGACUGAGAUACGGCCCAGACUCCUACGGGAGGCAGCAGUGGGGAAUAUUGCACAAUGGGCGCAAGCCUGAUGCAGCGACGCCGCGUGAGGGAUGACGGCCUUCGGGUUGUAAACCUCUUUCAGCAUCGACGAAGCGAGAGUGACGGUAGGUGCAGAAGAAGGACCGGCCAACUACGUGCCAGCCGCCGCCGUAA
rnacentral:rRNA from 1 species